rnacentral:rRNA from 1 species
UACGUAGGGUGCAAGCGUUGUUCGGAAUCAUUGGGCGUAAAGCGCGUGUAGGCGGCUUGGCAAGUCAGUUGUGAAAGCCCGGGGCCCAACCCCGGAACUGCAUCUGAAACUGCCUGGCUAGAGUCCCGGAGAGGAAGGCAGAAUUCCCGGUGUAGGGGUGAAAUCCGUAGAUAUCGGGAGGAAUACCAGCGGCGAAGGCGGCCUUCUGGACGGUGACUGACGCUGAGACGCGAAAGCGUGGGGAGCAAACAGG